CCGCCCCUCGAAUGACGACCCCCCGGCACGUGACCCCGUUGCCAUGGCAGCGCCCCGCUGAGGCCUGACGGGGCCCUGGGAAACAGGAACAUCAAAUAAAUAUAGAAAUUGUAAAUGCAAAUCUAAGUGUAAGAGUAAAUGUAAAUGUCAGAGUAAAUGUAAGUGCACAUGUAUAGAAAGCAAAGGGCUGAGUUUUACCAGACAUGCUGAACAAGACACUCACCUUCCAGCUACUCUGUCAUCAAUUUGCUAAGGAACCAUAAAAGAAAGUCAAAACAACUCCUCAAAACAUGCAGGUAUCGUGUUGUGAAUCAGCUGCAAACCCCUCUUGGACAGGAAAUGCUUCACUGCACUUGGUACAUGUCUUUUCAGAGACCUGCCAAAAGAGAAAUGUGUUAUUAAAUGAAUCAUGUUCAACUGCUCUGAACUGCUUUAGAUUCCUUGAAACCUGAGCAUCUCAGUUUACUACAGUGCCUGUGAAAAACAUGGUCUUAAAUUACAAGGUUUCGGUGGAAAAGCAGUUGUGCAACAAAUUGGAGAGUUUCAGUGACAAACUCAAGGAUUUCAGUGACAAACUCAGGUGUUUUUGUAAAAAAUCUGAGAGUUACAGUGACAAACUCAAGGACUUUUGUAAAAGACUCGAGGGUUUCAGUGACAAACUCAAGGGGUUUUGUAAAAAACUUGAGGGUUUCUGUAUCAAACUUGAGGAUUCCAGUGACAAACUUGAGGAUUUCUAUGACAAACUCCAGGGUUUCUAUGACAAACUCCAGGGUUUUUGUAAAAAACUCAAGGAUUCCACUGAUAAACUUGAGGAUUUAGUGACAAACUCAAGAGGGUUUGUAAAAAACUCGAGGGUUUCUGUGACAAACUUGAGGAGUCCAGUGACAAACUCAAGGGUUUCUGUGACAAACUCGAGGAUUCCAGUAACAAAUUCCAAGAUUUUAUUGCCACUUGAGGGAGCUCAAAGAUAAUUGACUUUGCAGAGCCACCUGGAGUUUCCUAAUUCCAGGGAGACCAUUUCUAUCCACAGCUAGAAUGGAUAACUUUGGAAAGCAAAGCUAAAUCGAGCCUGGGGUUGUAUUUCUCUUGUCCUGUGUAACAUCAGAGUAAUUAUCAGAGUGUAAGAAAUUACAGCCAUGUAUCCAGAAUAUUUAACAGGUGAAAAAGACAAGUUUUCCACUUGCUAAUUCCCAGUAUUUGCCUUUCUUCCCCAUCACCUUCACCUUGGCUGUGCCCUUGCUGUGCCUGAGGCUCGUGGCUGUGAUGUUCCUGUGGGUUCAGCCAGGAAAGUGUUUAUGUCCAAGAUAAAUACAGUGGAUUGCUCUAAAACUCAGGCUUUAGCAUGUUUAUUACAGAUGCUGCCUCCCCAUAAACCAGAGCACUUACAGUGCCACAUGAUCCCAAAUGUUGUGUUUAACAGCAGCAGAUGGAGGAAAAGCUGUGUACAGGACUUUAUAGGGGCCAUAAAAUCCUUGUGCCUGUGGCCUCCUCUCCUUGCACUGCCCAGAUCAAUCAGGUGCAGGGAGCACUCAGGACAGUAAAUAUUCCCAGGAAACGAGGAUGAGUUUCAGGGUUCAGCUCCUCAGUGUUACUGCUGGCUUUGGGAAGGUGCUUCAACACUGCAACGAAGCAGGAGCUGUAUUUCACAUGGUUAAACUGACUCCACCAUCAUUUCCCCAUUGUCCAUCUUCUGAAGGAAAAAUCUCAUGGUUUCCUCCCAAGGGAUGAAGGAUCUGUCAUACACAGGCACACAAACAGUUUUUAAUCACUCCACGUGCUGAGGAAUGGGUGAUUACAAACCUCUGUCUCACUCAAAUGUUAUUGGGAGUUUCUGCAGCAUUCCAAGAUGAGCGUGAUUUCUUCAAAUGUGAUUUCUUCAAAGUGCUGGGAAGAGGCUGAGGAAGCUUUUCUGCCCCAUAAAUCUCUCUGAGAGCAAAGAUCCUGGCCUGAGGAAGCUCCUGUGGCUGGGAGGGAUCCUGUGCCAAAGCAAACAGCUCCUGCCUCUGCUGAGUCACACGAGCACUGAGUGGGGUGGGUUUGUGGCUCCUCGUUCCACACUGUUAAAUGUUGGUCUGCAUCCUUCCUGAAAUUCACAGCUCUUCCCAAGGCUCCUUCUCCAACAGCCAGCUCAGGUAAUGGAGUAAAAAACGCCUCCCAGGAGAGUGUUUUGCACAUUAAUGAUGUGCAGCUCCUCAGCCAAGCCAGGACUUUCGGGAGGACUUUUUGGAUGUUCCAGGCCAGGCUGGCCAGGGCCUGGAGCCCUGGAAGGUGUGGAAGGUGUGGUAUGAGAUGAUUUUCAGGUCCCUUCCCACCCAAACCAGUCUGGGAUUCUGGGAUUUCAGACCUUCAGGCUGUGGGGACUAGAAUUGAAUUUCUAGGUAACACUUGAACCUGGCUCCAUGCACAACUUUGUCCCUGUUUUCCUCAGGAUACACAAAUUCCUGGUGGAUCUUAACAGUGCUAAGUUUUAAAAAUCCCCAGGUGGAAAUACUGAACAACUACGGCUGCCUGAGAGCCACUGAAGCAAAGCAUUUCCUGGAGAGAUCAUCUUUGAAAAGAUGUAUUCUCAAAACAUUUAAACUUCAUAAAACUCUCCUGUUUCAUCCAGCGGGAUGGACAUGAAGGAUUUCAUGACUAACCCUGGAAUUUCAGGAGGAAGCUUUGAUCCUGAAUCAGGUGCUGCAGGUUGGUGCCACCCAGCCUCAGUGCCCUGGGAAUGAAGGAAGUUCCCACCCUGGUCAAGGGCUCUGCUUCCCUCCUCUGGCUGAAGGCCAGGAGAGCUCAUUGUCACCAGGGCUCCUCAUCCUCUGGGAACGGGAGUGAUGGAAGCCCAGAAAUGGAUGGGAGAGGGAACUGCUUCCCCCUGGCUCCGUGGCAGGGCUGCAGCAUCCCCUUGUACAUCCAUCCAUCCAUCCAUCCAUCCCCUGUAACCACAGAGAUCAUCCUGUUCCCAAAGCCAGGGCUGCUCCCAGCACCUGGCACUCCAAGGAUCCGGCAGCACCUCCUCAUUCCAGCCUCCUGCUGUCCCCUCUCAGCUCUGAGUUCUCUCCCUCUGCUCCUUCAUUCCAAAGGCAGAUCUCCUGUCAGGCUCCUGCUUUCCCCCCGCCCGAGGCUGAGCAUUUUCUGCACGUCCAGCAGUUCCUCCUCAGGCAUUUCCUCUGCCCUCCAGGGGCUGAACUUUGCUGGAGACUUUCCAAGACCUGGCUAAGGUGGGGUGGAUUUUUUUCCUUCUCUCUGCUGCAGUCUGGAGAACUUUCCAAGCAAACAGCUUGGUUCAGUGGUCCGGUUGUUCCCUGAACUUUAAUUCCUUUGCUGGUACACCUGAUCCCUCACUUUCAAAUUAAUUCCUCCCCUCUGUGGAAUUCCUUCUCACCAGCUCUCCCAGGCCUUGGAUCUGAGGAAAUUCGAUUAAAUUCUGUCUUUGUAGCUGAUGUGGUUAUGUUAAAUAUUCUCAUUGGGUUGAAAUUGUUUAAAAUAAAACCAAAAAUGAAAAAUCACAAUUAUUCCAAUAAUCCUCAGUCAUCUCCACACACCCAGCUCUGUCUCAGAGUAUGGGACUUUGCUUCAUAACCCAAGAACGUGAUACCAUGGGGGAAAGAAUUACAAAAAGCUCAAGGAAAGGAGAAAAGGGUGGGAAAGGGGGAGAAUAAUUAUUUCCUUAUAGGCAAAGAACUGGAAACAAGCUGGAGAAGGGAGGAAAAACUAUUUCACAAACUGAUAAUUCAAAUUAGAGGACAAGAAGUUCUGCCCAAGUAUUUGUUAAAGGGCUGGAGAGGGAGAUGAAAUGCAAUUUUCUUUUUUAUUUCUUUCAAAGAGUGAAUAAGAAAUUAUUUUGCACAGAAAAAAAAAUUGUGAUCUAAUUCUGAAAAUAUAUAAUUUCCUUUAGAAGCACCUUGCUCAACACUUGAUUUCCCAGUUUCACUCACAGAUUACAAUUCUUUGCAUUUUUAUAUCCCUGAGCUCCCCACCUUGUGGUUUCUAAGUGCAAACAAUUUCCUCAAUAUUAUUCAUGGCCUGAGAGAAGGAAACGAGUGGGUUCACCUUGUUCCCCAUAAAUGACAAGUGAAUAAAUACAAGUCCUACAGAUUCAUCCCAGAAUCCCUGCAGCUGGAAAGGACCUCCAGGACCAUCAGUCCAGCUGUUAACCUAGCACUACACCACAUUCUCAGGAUUUUUGAACACUUCCAGGGAUGGGGACUCCAUCACUCUCUGCAUGGUAACCAGAAGAUGAAGUCAGAUUAGAAAAAAUUGAAGAGAAAAUAAAUAAAGUUUCUUUUUUCUCUUAUCUGGAAGGCAAAUACAGCUGCCUUUUUUUUUUUUUUUCCUGGAAAUUUGAGCUCCACAACCACAAAGCAUUCAUAGAAAAUGCAACUCCAAGUUCAAAUAUCUGACAUCUGACAACAAGUGCCAAGGGCAUGGCUCUGGAAAGUGAUAGGGAAUGGAAAAUGGGGAGAGAAAACUGAACUCAGGAAAGGGAACAGAUAAAAAUCCUGCUUUAGAGAGCCAUGCCAAGUAAGAACAUCCCAUCCUGCAGCUGGAGUGUUUGCUUCCUUGUUCGAGUUUGCUGGCAAACUAUGAACUCACACUUCUUAUGUUCCACUCCAACAAGAAGUGCUUUGGGACAGGCCUUGGCUCCAGGAUCUCCAGCUGAAUUCCCUGGAUCCAAUUUCCACCCAGCCUGCUGGGGAACGGACUCCUCAUUCCCUUGGGAAUGCACCCGUCAGGCUCUGUCCGAGCCCUGGUAACCACUGGGGUGUUGUGCUUGGCUUCUCUGAGUUUACAUCUCCACCAAAAGAGGGGAAACAACUGAUGAGGGCUUUUCUAACUCCUUAAAAUCUGAUUCUUGCAGGGAAUUGGAGCCAGCAGAUGUGCUGGAGAUAAGGGGUGGGACGAGGCACAUCUGAGCCCUGCUCUGGUGGUGCUGGGCAGGAGGGAUGGCACCACCACCAAAACCCAGAUCGCAGCUCUCAUAGUCAGGGCUCCCAAAUCUGCAUCCUCAGCACUCCAGACCCUUCUUUUCCAAAGUCACUUCACCAAAGUCACGCUGCAAAUUGGUCAUAAUUCAUCAGCUUUGUAUCAUUUUUUUGUCUAGAAUUUGUUUAGCAUUCCUGCUUCCAGCCUGAGCUGUCCCAACAUCAUUUCAGCUUCUAGUCCACACAUUCCCAGCCCAUUUCCCUGCACUUUCUGCUCACCAAGCAAGAAGGAGCUUUUUAUAAGCUUCUUACACUGACACCUGAAAGAGCAGUGCUGCUGUCAGCACAUUCCCAGCCUUUCUUCCCUGGGAAUAUUUCCCAGAGCCAGCCUCACACCCUGUGUGCUCCCCUGGAAAAGUGAUUUCCCUACAAGGCUGAAGGGCUGGGAUUUUCAGGGAGUUCCACCCAGCAGAAAAUGCCUGAUAGUGGCUGUGGAUGGUGUCCAGCAGCUCCUCGUGGCCCAGCAACCUUCCCUAAACACAAAUGCUUCCAGGAAAUGGGAAAGAAACACAUCCCACGGGACUGGGAAGAGGGCCUGGAUGAAUCACUGCUCCCCACACACAUCUCCAAGGAAAUGAGGGAAAAUAAAUGGGUUCCAAACAGCACAACUGGCUCCCUGGGGGCCUCGGUUGGGGAGUUAUCCUACAGCCACAGCAUCCCAAUCCCCAUGGAUGCAGCGCCUGGCUCAAUCCCAGUUUGGGGCUGGAAGAAAAGCACCAACACACAGCUCUGCUGACGCAGCAGCCUGUGGAGGAUCUGUCAGAAAACCUUUGUGCUGUUGCAAUACUUUCCUCAUUGCUUUGUGCACUCUGCAAACAGAUUUGGCAAGCAGGCAUUGUUACCCUGGGAUCCUCCUCCAGGAUUUAUUGGGGAUGUUUAAUACCUGCCACAGCCAUCCUGCUUUUCUCGGAGCUGGCACCAAAUGCUGGCCCUGAAGUGACAAUUUCUUGUUGCUUCUGUUGGCUCAGGAUAAGCCACAAAGCCAAGAAUGGUUAUGAAAGUGCCACUCCCAAAGUGUCCCACUCCCCUCCCAAAGGGUCCCACUCCCCUCCCAAAGGGUCCCACUCCCCUCCCAAAGGGUCCCACUCCCCUCCCAAAGGGUCCCAACCCCACUCCCAAAGGGUCCCACUCCCAAAGGGUCCCACUCCCAGGGUUUGGGGAUGCUCCUGCUCUUGUUCCCAUCACCUCUCAGCUAAGGGAUAAGCAAGAAGAAACAGGGAUAAGAUGUCAAGUUCCUGUUCUGAUCAACAGCUGGGAAGGUGCUUUAGCCCCCAGACACUGCUGGCUCCAUAACCAGGUUAUCUUUGGGUUGGAAUCGUGGAAUGCUUUGGGAUGGAAGGACUUUAAAGCUCAUCCAGCCCCACCCCUGCCAUGGGCAGGGACACCUUCCACUAUGCCAGGCUGAUCCAAGCUGGCCUUGGCCACUGCCAGGGAUCCAAGAACAUCCAGAGCUGCUCUGGGAAUUCCAUCCCAGCCCCUCCCCACCCUCAGAGGGAGUGAGUCCUUCCCAGGAUCCCAUCUAAGUUUCUCCCACUUUAGUUUAAAUGCAUUUCCCCUUGUCCUGGCAUUCCAAGGUCCCUCUCCAGCUCUUUCAGGCUCCCUUUAGGUCUUGGAAGGCCCCAGUUAAAUCUCCCCAGAACUUUCUCUUCUCCAGGUUGGACACCCCCAACCCUCAGCCAACAGUCUGAGAAAAGUCUCCUGCAGCCAACUGCAGAAAAAUGAAAAAAUAUCCAACAACUUCUUCAAUUCUGCAUUUUUAGUUAAUGAAACAGAUUGAUCAGGGAAACCCAAAUUGCUUUAUCAGCAAGACUGACCUGAACCAGACUCUCCUAAACUCCUGUCCCUUCCUUGCUUUGCCAAGGAAACACAGUAAAUGGAAAGAUGGAAACACAGCAAAAAUAAAAGGAGGAAGAAUUCA